AUUGAACGCUGGCGGCAGGCCUAACACAUGCAAGUCGAACGAGUGGCGGACGGGUGAGUAAUGUCUGGGAAACUGCCUGAUGGAGGGGGAUAACUACUGGAAACGGUAGCUAAUACCGCAUACCAUCGGAUGUGCCCAGAUGGGAUUAGCUAGUAGGUGGGGUAAAGGCUCACCUAGGCGACGAUCCCUAGCUGGUCUGAGAGGAUGACCAGCCACCCUGGAAAUGAGAAACGGUCCAGACGCCGACGGGAGGCAGCAGUGGGGAAUAUUGCACAAUGGGGGGAAGCCUGAUGCAGCCAUUCCGCGUGGAAGAAGAAGGCCUUCGGGUUGUAAAGUACUUUCAGCGGGGAGGAGUUACCCGCCGAAGAAGCACCGGCUAACUCCGUGCCAGCCGCCGCGGUAAUUC
rnacentral:rRNA from 1 species